AUCAUUUAAAGGAUUAUCAUCCUCAUUUGUCAUAAACUCCCAGUUUAUGAGAGCUGGAGAAGUGAACUUUUCUUUUUAAAAUGAUCCAAAGGGCCUUUGUUUGUAUCAGUGUAGGAAAUCUCACCCAGUGGUUCAGAUAAGUUAGUGAAGGAAGGAGAAUUAACAAAAUAUUGGUAGGUGUGUCCAACUAGGGGUGAGAUUUUUGUAUCAGUGUAUGGAGUGCUGGCAUGAGCUCCGGCUGAGCUGUCUUCGUCACUCUCUUCUGAUCAUGGGAAAUGGGGCCCCCUGAAAAAGGAGCCUCAGGAAGAGCUCUGAGCCAAUGGACCAUUUUCUCUCAAUUGUACAGUAUAGACUGGGAAAAGGAGAGCUACAAAAUUCAUCAGAGAGUUUGCAGGAAGUGGACCACUUGCAGAUGAUACUGUUCUAAGGGAAAAAUGGACUGACUUCAGACCAUUGUGGACACCAUCACCCAACAGUAAGCUCCUUUGUUUUUGAGACGAACCCUCUCCGGUGGCCUGGUCUUGGAUUUACUGCACUAAUCUUGAAAGUGAAAUGAAAAGUACUGAAAAGGCUUCAGAGUUGACCUACCUUUCCAAUUAUCAAUAUUCAAAGUUCUUCCUACUUAUCCCAUGUCUCUGCAUUGAGUGAAAAGAGUAACUUUAUUCAGGAUGAGAUUAAAAUCUAUGCAUUUAUAAAAUAUUCAUUUUCCUCUAUUAGGCAGUAGAUAUAAAGCACAAUGUGAAAACACAAUAAUAGCCUUGCUUGAGGCAAACACACAUCACAUAUCCAUCAGCUAUUCUAACUUUUGGAAACGAAUAGUC